GUGUGUGUGUGUGUGCAUGAAUUUGUUUCACCCCUUUUGCAUUUCUUUCACAGUAUGUAACAAUCCUUUUUGACAAAAUGCCGCCAGCUUGUCGACCACUGAGUAGUUUCUGACUCUAGUCUAGUGACUCCAAAAAACACAAACUAGAACAAAAGUUUAUCCAACCACACAAUCCCCACCAUGUUAGCCAACCACACCAGUGUUUUUUCAUUGAAACAAUUUAUAUUUUCGCUCAGAGCACUGAUUCAGAGUUGGUGGAGAAAUCUGACAUUGAUCAAGGUGCAGAGUUCCACUCAGUUGUAUACUUUAGUACGGGUUUAAUGAUAAAUCAGUGCUGCCACAUAACAUGGAGCUCACACUGACGAGCCAAUGAGAUCAAGUGCAUUCAUGGGAAGUCACAUUGAGGUCAAAUAAUCAUACAUUCAGUGGUAAUGACAAAUGGAAUGGUGGAUUUACAAAUGCGUUUUACAAUGUGUGCUCUGCUGUCAUUGGCACAGUUAUUGUGUGUUGACUGUGUGUUUGUGAAUGGUACAACCGAGAACUACGAGUGUGUUUCUCUGUAGCCCUACCUUGAGUGUGAGUCUGUGGAAUCAGGAUGUUGGAUUGAGGGGCAGGGCAUUGAGACUGUUAAAUAUUGACUGGGAGUGUAAUAAUUAACUUGGCUCCCACUCCUGAUGUCUCUUAAACUGGCCACCCUCUCUGCCAUUGCAUUGCUGACAAAUGCACCCUAAACUCCUUAUCCUUUCUACCUCUCCUCUUAGUGAGGCUGUCUGUGUAUAUGUUCAUCGCUGCUUUGCCUUCUAUCAGUCUUUUCUGCUACAUUAGACCGCUCUUUCCUUAUUUCUGCCUUUCUAUCCUUGCACCCCCCAAAAGCUGACGCUCCCUAACCUUUGGCCUCGUGCUAUGAAAGUCACCCGGCCAGGCUCGGCUGCAUCUGAAGGUAUUUCAAAGUGAGAUAUCAUACGCCCACCAGAAACAACUGAAGGUGUGACCUCAAUAUAUGGGACGAGCUAAAUGUUGCAUGAAUGCAGUAAUAUCGUUAUCCUGUAGGAGGCAUAGUGUGCUAUGAACAGCUUGUGGACAAAUCUGGUGCUUGCUGGCUGUAACAGCAACUCCAUGUGGAAGUUGUCUGUGUUCCAGUGGAGAUGCUGUUACCUGCAGAGAGUCACCCCCUAGCCAGCUCUGACAUGGAAUCAAUGUUUAGAAUAUUACAGUCCUUAUUUAUUAUGGCUGUUCUGAUGUUUCUCCUCUUUCGGUUGAACUCAGUUAUAUCUGCUUUCACCACAUUGUCAUGUAUUCUUUGAUUUGUAUUAUUAAGAACAGUCUCUAGAUCAUUCAAGAGAUAUGGGCUCCUUGUUUUCAAUGACAACAUCAUGUGAAGAUAUGUAUGCCCUCCAAACUUUGGUUUGAAUUCAGAGUAGGGAUGCAUGGGAUGCAUGGUGAUGACCUAUGAAUUGACAGCCAGUGUCUGCAACACAACUGCCUGUCAGUUCUGUAGGCCACUGCUGUGUCUAUCCUACUGAGCACACACAGGGGUUUAGAUGGAGCAAAGGAACUCAUUGAUAUGUUUGAUAAAUUGUCAGAAACCUAUGAUGUAUUUGUGAAACCCCUGAGAAUAUUCUGUAUAGUAUACAUUUGCAAGUUAUUUGAAGACAAUACAAUUGCUUUGUUGCCAACCUUGGAAAUAAAGAUUGAAAACAUUC